GACGUAGGGCGCGAGCGUUGUCCGGAUUUAUUGGGCGUAAAGAGUUCGUAGGCGGCUCGUUGCGUCGGCUGUGAAAACCCGCAGCUCAACUGUGGGCUUGCAGCUGAUACGGGCGGGCUUGGAUUCGGUAGGGGAGACUGGAAUUCCUGGUGUAGCGGUGAAAUGCGCAGAUAUCAGGAGGAACACCGGUGGCGAAGGCGGGUCUCUGGGCCGAUAUCGACGCUGAGGAGCGAAAGCGUGGGGAGCGAACAGG
rnacentral:rRNA from 1 species